UACGUAGGGGGGCGAGCGUUGUCCCGGAGUUACUGGGCGUAAAGCGCACGCAGGCGGUCUGCUAAGUUUGGAGUGACAGUUGGUGGCUUAACUGCCAAAGUGCUUCGAAAACUGACAGACUUGAGGGCUUCAGAGGGACACGGAAUUCCGGGUGGAGUGGUGAAAUGCGUAGAGAUCCGGAGGAACACCAAAGGCGAAGGCAGUGUCCUGGGGAGUACCGACGCUCAGGUGCGAAAGCCAGGGGAGCGAACGGG
rnacentral:rRNA from 1 species